rfam:Flavobacterium hibernum strain DSM 12611 Contig07, whole genome shotgun sequence.
UCCUAGCCCCGAUAGAGGCGGUAUCCUUUUUUGAGGCGAUUUUUCUUCGCCUUAAAAAAGAUAUAGCCGAAAGCGGGAUUAGCU